AAUGGGCGAAACGUGACGCAGCGACGCCGCGUGAGGGAUGACGGCCUUCGGGUUGUAAACCUCUUUCAGCUCCGACGAAGCGAAAGUGGCGGUAGGAGCAGAAGAAGCACCGGCCAACUACGUGCCAGCAGCCGCGGUAAUACGUAGGGUGCGAGCGUUGUCCGGAAUUAUUGGGCGUAAAGAGCUCGUAGGCGGUCUGU
rnacentral:rRNA from 1 species